AAGGCUGAGAGCUGCUGAGCUGGGGCGCUAAGGGAGCGCCCACCUGAGGCGGUCCAACUGCUGUGACCCCACUACCGGGCGUCCUUCUCUUGCACAGUUCCCAGGGAAGCCGGGGGAGAGGAGAGCAGUGCCCUAGCCCGAGGAGCCUGGCUGCAUGCUGAAAGCUGACUGCUAAGGAAUAAGAUAUGGCAAAAACCUAUCUAUUCCAAGACACGUAAACAAAAUAUUACAGUUUGGUGCACGGCAGAAGAAAACUACUCACCUCAUAGCAGCCAUGAAGCAAAGAAAGCAGGAAGAGAAGCAGAGAUGAAGACAGCAAAGACCAGAUGGAGUUGGCAAAGUCACAUCUCCAUGAUCCAUUUCCUUCGGUCACGAGGUGAUAGUUUUGCUGCAUCAUGUACUCUCCACCACAAUGUGCUGUUUUCCCAUAAGACCGUGAGUAAUG